UAUGUCGAUUAAUUGGAGGAGAUGGAAUUGGGUGUAUGACUCCCAAUUGAGUUCUUAACUUGUCUAGCAUAGGAUCUUCUUGGAAACCAGUGAAAUUUGAGCCCAUUUGGAUAGACGACGAAGAUGAUGAGGAAGCUGAUUCAUCCGAAAUCUCAUGUUCGGUCUCCAAUUCAUUAACAAUUUGUUUGAGAAGAAGGGUUCGCGCUCGUGUAUGAAGCCUGGUUGAAUUACCAGUGCCAUUAGUGGGAAAUACACAAGCACGGAAAGAGAACUUGUGAAGCUUUUUCCUCCUCCGUUUGGAUAAAGGGAUUGAAGGGUAAAUGAGGUUUGAAUUUUUACAAGGACAGAGAAUCUGUGAGAAAUCAAAAGAAGAAGAAGAAGAAGAAAGAAUGGAGUUCAUAUUGAUGGAAAGAAGUGAUGAAGAGACAUUGAAAUGAGAAGGAAGAAAGUUGCAGAGAAAAUUGGAAAUUGUGGAGGAGAUUGUAAAAGCAAAAAGGAAGGAAAGAAAGGGAACGAAGAACAUGAUUCAUGUGUUGUGGCUGACGUGGAUAACGAAAUCAAAAUCCUCUCUUGCUUCUAGAUUUGGAAUUAAGCGCACGUGGGUCGGAGGCAACGCGCUUCCCAUAAACUUGCACAUGUACUUGUAAGCUCAGACGAUAAGCCUGGGGCGCGUUCGGUAAUUUUAAUUGUUGUGUGUAUUUUUUCAAACUGGUCGAAAUCUCGCAACGCGCGAUUAAUU
rnacentral:misc_RNA from 1 species